rnacentral:snoRNA from 1 species
AAACUAUGAUGAGGACAGAGACGCUGCAAUUGAACCGCUCCCAAGCUUCAUAUAAAGACUCACCAGGAUCUUGGGUGAAAGUAACUAUGACAUGUCUCAUAUC